rfam:Medicago truncatula strain A17 chromosome 3, whole genome shotgun sequence.
ACCAUAAGUAAUAAAAGGUCCGUUUAGAUCCCUUAACUUUAUUUAAAGUAUCGGUUUGAUCAUUUCUGUUAAUUUAAUUUAAAAAACAUUAAGUUUAGGGACCAAAUUAAUACUAAUUAAAUAAGUUAAGGCACCAAACUAAUACUAAUUAAAUAAGAUAAGAGACCAAAAUUUAACGUUUUUUUGAAUUAAAUUAAUAUAAAGGACCAAACCGAUACUUUCAAUAAAGUUAAGGGACCAAAACAGAUCUUUUAUUACUUAUGGGA